rnacentral:rRNA from 1 species
CACGUAGUUAGCCGUGGCUUCCUCCCCAGGUACCGUCAUUAUCGUCCCUGAAGACAGAGCUUUACAACCCGAAGGCCGUCAUCACUCACGCGGCGUUGCUGCAUCAGGGUUUCCCCCAUUGUGCAAUAUUCCCCACUGCUGCCUCCCGUAGGAGUCUGGGCCGUGUCUCAGUCCCAAUGUGGCCGAUCACCCUCUCAGGUCGGCUACGCAUCGUCGCCUUGGUGAGCCCGUUACCUCACCAACUAGCUAAUGCGCCGCGGGCCCAUCUCAUAGCGGAUUGCUCCUUUAAUUGCUACUUCAUGCGAAGCUGCAAUCUUAUGCGGUAUUAAUCUCCUUUCGGAAGCUACUUCCCCUCUAUGAGGCAGGUUCGCCCACGUCGUUACUCACCCGUCCGCCGCUAGCUUUGUUACCGAAGAACUCCACUCGCUCGACUUGCAUGUGUUAGCACGCCGCCAGCGUCGUCUGACGCCAGGACUACAACUCU